UACGGAGGGUGCGAGCGUUGUCCGGAAUCAUUGGGCGUAAAGGGCGCGUAGGUGGCCCGGUCAGUUCGUGGUGAAAGCGCGGGGCUCAACCCUGCGUCGGCCAUGAAUACUGCCGCGGCUGGAGCACUGUAGAGGCAGGCGGAAUUCCGGGUGUAGCGGUGGAAUGCGUAGAGAUCCGGAAGAACACCGGUGGCGAAGGCGGCCUGCUGGGCAGUUGCUGGACACUGAGGCGCGACAGCGUGGGGAGCAACAGGG
rnacentral:rRNA from 1 species